GUGGGGAAUCUUCCGCAAUGGACGAAAGUCUGACGGAGCAACGCCGCGUGAGUGAAGAAGGUUUUCGGAUCGUAAAGCUCUUUCGUUAGGGACGAACGUGCUCUUUGUGAAUAAUGAGGAGUAAUGACGGUACCUAAAUAAGAAGCCACGGCUAACUACGUGCCAGCAGCCGCGGUAAUACGUAGGUGGCAAACGUUGUCCGGAAUUAUUGGGCGUAAAGCGCGAGCAGGCGGGAUAUCAAGUCUGUCUUAAAAGUGCGAGGCUCAACCUCGUGAGGGGACAGAAACUGGUAUUCUUGAGUGUCGGAGAGGAAAGUGGAAUUCCAAGUGUAGCGGUGAAAUGCGUAGAGAUUUGGAAGAACACCAGUGGCGAAGGCGACUUUCUGGACGAUGUCUGACGCUGAGGCGCGAAAGCUAGGGGAGCGAACGGGAUUAGAAACCCUUGUAGUCC
rnacentral:rRNA from 1 species